GCCGACUAGUGUGAUCAGGCCUAUCACGAUACUUGCCAAUGAAAUGAGAUAAAUAUGCGUCGAACUGUCCUUCGUGUUCAAGUAGAAUGGGAAAAACCCGAGCCACACGGCACACGUGAUGUACAUGGUUAUCCCAAUGUACUUGGACUCGUUGAAAUUCUUCGGGAAUGUCCGCGUCUUGAAGGCAUAGACGGUGCAAAGUAUCAUGAGAACCAUAACAUAGCACAAGUUUACGGAGAAGCUGAGCUGGUCAACUUCGCAUUCCAGGACUAGCUCUUUGCGAUUGCUGUAAUAUUUCUCAGUUGCCGUCACUGGUUUUGCAAUAAACCAAAGAGUUGUGAACAUGAGUUGAAUGGAAAGCAACGCAAACGUAGAUCUGAGCGCAAGACCAAAAAUUUCACUGUGUUAAAUUGAAGCACGCGACAUCAACGUGAAAUGAAAUGAGAUAAAAAGUAUAUUUUCGUUGACGGCAAUAUGUCAUAAUCCGGGGAAAUAAAAAAUCCGAAACCAGUCCUCAAGAAUUUCAUUCAUUUAUGUAAAAUUUGUAGUGUGUCCAAUGAUAUUUAUAUGAAAAUUAUCAUUGCGAAUUACCUUCCGUCCGAAAAGUCAUACCAAGCUUUUACACUCGAGCCAUUAUUCUGUGCUCAACGCACAUGAGAUUUUGAAAUUGAUAAAUUUGAAAUCAGAGGAUUUUCACUACUUUAAUUAAUCAAUCGCUGACACCUUGUCGAAGCAUUCGGGCAAU